ensembl:lncRNA MAILR macrophage interferon regulatory lncRNA
GGAGAAAAGGGAGGGGGACGGAAGAGGAAGGAGGACUGAGCCCGGGAGAGAGAGGGGAGGGGUCGGCGCGCGACCGGGUCAUGCAGGUGCAGACUGGCCGGUCGCUUCCCGCCCUCCAGCCACCCGCAGCUCCCCGGCAGGCGAAGGGCGGCCGCGCGGGUGUGGGCCGAGAGAGGGAGGCGGCUCGGCUGGAGCGCGCCGUCCGCCCGACCCCCGCCGCCUCUCGGGCGCCUGCGCUCACGCUGCGGGGCCCAGCGCAUUGUGAGCCGGGUCGAGCUCCACGCUGGCAGCGUCUGAGAGCUGUCCUGGGCCGGAGGUGGCGCGAACCCUGUGCGGCCUAGAGUGGGCCUGGGGAAGCCAGCUGCCAUGUUCUGAGUACUCUCUGGAAGGGCCUGCAUGGCAAGGAACUGAUGUUUCCAGCCAGCAGCCAGCAAGAACUGCAAGCCUUGUGAAUGAGCUUGGAAGCAGAUCCUCCCCUCACUCAAGCCAUGAUAUGACAACAGCCUGAGACCCAGAGGACACAAACCACAGUCAAAAAAGGUCUUCCUGAGUUCUGAAGGUCAAGCAAUUAGAAUUUUCUCAGGCUUGUAGAAGAGUGGAAUUCUGGAAACCAGUCUUCGCCUCAGGGGAGCAUCUGUUGGAAGUUCUUAGGGAUGCUCAGGCAUAUGGCCUCAGAAACAUGGGCUAUUGAGACAGAGAAAAAGACAACUCUGGAAGGAGAGAGCCUGGCCUUACAGAAGACAUCUGAACUAUCAAUCAACAGAAAUCUCACGUAUAGUUGAAGAAUCAGAAAUCUGAGCGUAGGAAGAAGUGGGUUAGCCCUGGAGAAAGGAAAAGGAGGAUCAUGGUUCUCUGCAAAGAGCUGGAAGCUAAAAAGCAGGCUGUGUUUACUUACCAACCAGGACUCAGUGGGAUCUUUGCCAGCUUCCAAUAUGGCCUUAAAAGUAUAUGAAAUCCAAGAAAUAUUUCUGCAAAGCAAGAGAUCUUCACUGCUUUAUUUUCCACCACCUGAAUCCUUGCAGUGAGUGUAGUGUGUAUCUAAUCAAUCUAUUAAAAAAUACUUCAAAAGUUCUAUAUAUGUAUCAAUAUUUAAUAUUGUUUUUACAUUAUUUAAAUGUUUUUCUAAAUAAUAUUAUAGUAUAUAUAUUCUGAAGCAUUCUAUUCAGUGACAAAGAAUGAUGUUUAGACAAUUUACAUUUAUAUAGGAAAACUCAUAACCUGAAUAUGUCCUGUGGGAUCAAACCACUGACCCUUCCAGGGUGGAAGAGACCUAAGGUAGUCAGCUUCCAUCAAGCGGCCAGUUGGUCUCAUUGAGGAAUGGUGUCACAUCAAGGGCUCAGUGUUGGUCUCUGUUGCAGAUAUAUCAGACAUUUGAUAAUGGCAGCAGCUGGAUCAGUCUUGGUAAGGGUUGGAAGUAUAGUUAGUCCUCACUUUGCAUGGUCCCAAUAUGCACAAAUCCUAGUUACCACCAUUUAGUUAAAUCACACCAGAACCCCAACAACAUGGUUCAAAUUUCAGCUACAACGUUAUUAACUGUGCACAAUUACACAAAGUACAAACCUCACUGUCAGCUCUUUAGUCCACAAAUCACUAUGUAAAUAACAGAUGCAUAGCAUGAUCAAUAACCAAUCACACCUCUCCUUUCAAAGUCCACUAAUGAUUGGCCACUGCACAUAUGUUCAGUUCCUACACAGCAAAGCGUGUAGUUGUGUUGCUGAUUUUCCUGUGAAUGAAGCCACAUGAUGGUUUACAAUAAUGGAUACUCAAAAGAGGAAAUUGGCCAACAAAGAUGAAAGCGCAGAAAAAAGUCCAAAAAGUAGUAAUGCUAGAAAUGAACUCCAAAUUGAAUGAGUUACAGAAAAACAGUUCACUGUGAGAAUGUGGCCACUGCAUCAUUCAAGAGGAUAUGCAGCCAGAGGAACUUAGCAAAGGCAAACUUAACAUAAAUGAGGAAGGAAGUGUGGCAAAAAGCAUGCUGUCUCAGAGGAAGCGGUCCUGGCAGAAACUUCACAUUGAAGCAACUCUGGGAAAUUUUUCAUGACGCUGAAAACACAAAGGAUAAAAUGUUGGGAGCUGAUCCAGUCUUAGAAAGGAGAACAAUUCAUCACGUCAGAGAAAAGAUGCUCUCUCCAUGUCGUAAGUUACACAAGAAGAAGCUCUGAGGAGUGAAUCCACAAUACAGUUCAAAGAGAGAUUUAAAUUGCUAAUUUCCCGGCACUGGAAUGUGGGGAAAGAUUGUCACAGAUUUAGCAUGAAAGCCAUGUAUUUAACAUUCCUAUGUAAUAACCCUCUCUUAAAUUGCAUUUUGGUUUGAGAAACAGCAAGAACAAAUUCAGCAUUAGGGGGAAACUUUGCUGUUGAUCUCAAAGGGAAUGAGAAUUUAGGGAGCACCUCUGCCCACCAGGAAGGAGCUUUCUCUUGAGUCUCCCACAUGACUGUGUACUAUGGAUCACAUUGGAAGAACUUCUCUUUUUCCUAAUGCUGUCUGAGUUUUGCAUUUUGGUGCCAGAACAGGGAAGUGAAGGGAUACAUAAGAGACACACAUAAUAGAAAUGUAAAAGACAAGCAAUACCACCAGACGAUAGAUGUAAUUUGGAACAAAGAUAUUUUUAUUUGCCUAAGGCUCAGAAAGUCGUGCCAGGCAAUGCUGGAAGGAAUUGGUUGGCUUCCUCUCCCAAACCACUUCCUCAGUGCUCAUCCUCUUUCAGGUGGACAAGAUAUGGCAUUUUGACUGCUAGCAAAUGUCACUGUGACAUUUCAAUGGCACAAUUGGUGACAAUUCAGCCAAUUUUUGUUGGGCACCCUCCACAUGCCCCAGGGUCUGGGCUCAGCCCUUUACGUACGUGGGCUCAUUGAUUCUUCCAUGUUUUCUAGAAUGUGAUUUUACCCUGGCUGGCACAGAGUAAAUGCCCAAAGAAUGGUAGCUAUUGUUUUUAAUCAUCAUUAUUAAUUUUAUAAAUAACUUCCAUAUCAGGUGAUGGGAAAAUUUCAGACUUUGAUUUGGGCCUUGGAAAACAGGUUCAGUUUCAGUAGAUGGAGGUAAAAGGAGGCAAAGAGCGACCUUACGUAAAUCCAAGGCUGAAGGAAGGAGGCUCUAAGGGGUGUGUGGGUGAUUAGGAGUAAAGUAUCUUGUCUGAAAUGAAGAGUUUCUAUACAGCAUGCUUAUUUGGAGUCAUGCCUAACAAGAUUACUUUGGGUCUAAUUUUGGAAGCUUGGUACUCCAGGGAGCUUGGACAUGAAUUUAAAGACAAUGGGAACUCACAUUUAAGUUUCUGAAACAGCCAGGCGUGGUGGCUCAUGCCUGUAAUCCCAGCACUUCGGGAGGCUGAGGCAGGUGGAUCACCUGAGAUCAGGAGUUUGAGACCAGUCUAACCAACAUGGAGAAACCCCAUCUCUACUUAAAAGAAAAAAAAAAUACAAAAUUAGCCGGGUAUGGUGGUGCAUGCCUGCAAGGGAGGAGACCACCCCUUAUAUUGUCUUAUGCCCAAUUUCUGCCUCCAAAGAAAGAAGAAGUAAAAACUAAAAGUCAGAAAUGGAAUUCACAAGCAGACAGCCUGGCGCCACACUCUGGGUCUGGUAGUUAAAGAUCAACCCCUGACCUAAUUGGUUAUUUGCAUAAGAAAAAGCACUGUGAAGAUCCCUGUCCUGUUCUGUUCCAUUCUAAUUACCGGUACAUGCAGCCCCCAGUCAUGUACCCCCUGCUUGCUCAAUCGAUCACGACCCUCUCACGUGGACCCCGUUAGAGUUGUGAGCCCUUAAAAGGGACAGGAAUUGCUUAUUCAGGGAGCUCGGUUGUUGGAGACAUGAGUCUUGCCGAAGCUCCUGGCCAAAUAAAGCCCUUCCUUCUUUAACUCGGUGUCUGAGGGGUUUUGUCAGUAGCUUGUCCUGCUACACCUGUAAUCCCAGCUACUCGGGAGGCUGAGGUGGGAGAAUUGCUUGAACCCAGGAGGCAGAGGUUACAGUGAGCCGAGAUUAUGCCAUUGCACUCCAGUCUGGGUAACAAGAGCAAAACUCCAUCUCGAAGAAAAAAAAGUUUCUGAAUGGGGAGCUGUUCUGGAGUAUGCAGGAAGGAUUGGGGUGGGAGGAGAACAAGAAGAGGAAUACGUUUUAGCGAUAUUGCAGUUAUUUCAGGUUAAAAGUGAUAGAGUCAGGGGCUGAACCAGGAUAUCGGCCAUAGAAGCAGAAAGGAAGGGGUAUGUGUGAAAGAAAUUAAGAAAGAAGAUGUCAGGCCUCUGAGCCCAAGCUAAGCCAUCAUAUCCCCUGUGACCUGCACGUAUACAUCCAGAUGGCCUGAAGCAACUGAAGAAUCACAAAAGAAGUGAAAAUGGCUGAUUCCUGCCUUAACUGAUGACAUUACCUUGUGAAAUUCCUUCUCCUGGCUCAGAAGCUCCCCUACUGAGCACCUUGUGACACCCCACCCCUGCCUGCCAGAGAACAACCCCCUUUGACUGUAAUUUUCCACUACCUACCCAAAUCCUAUAAAAUGGCCUUAUCCCUAUUUCCCUUUGCUGACUCUCUUUUCAGACUCAGCCCACCUGCACCCAGAUGAUUAAAAAUUUUUAUUGCUCA